CCUACGGGGUGCAGCAGUGAGGAAUAUUGGUCAAUGGACGGAAGUCUGAACCAGCCAUGCCGCGUGCAGGAAGACGGCUCUAUGAGUUGUAAACUGCUUUUGUACAAGGGUAAACCUGAAUACGUGUAUUCAGCUGCCCGUACUGUACGAAUAAGGGUCGGCUAAAUCCGUGCCAGCAGCCGCGGUAAUACGGAGGAUCCAAGCGUUAUCCGGAUUUAUUGGGUUUAAAGGGUGCGUAGGCGGAUUGAUAAGUUAGAGGUGAAAUGUCCGAGCUUAACUCGGGAACUGCCUCUAAUACUGUUGAGCUAGAGAGUAGAUGCGGUAGGCGGAAUGUAUGGUGUAGCGGUGAAAUGCUUAGAGAUCAUACAGAACACCGAUUGCGAAGGCAGCUUACCAAGCUAUAUCUGACGUUGAGGCACGAAAGCGUGGGGAGCAAACAGGAUUAGAGACCCUGGUAGUC
rnacentral:rRNA from 1 species